UGCUCGUGGAUGAGAGACCUCCCUUUGAGAGAGAGAGAUUUUGCAAGGGGACAUGUAAUAACAAGGUCCCAGUUCAACGCUGGUUGGGUGGAAGAGGAUGGGUGGCCGGAGGGGUUGGCUGUUAUCUUUGGUUAUCUAGCUGUAUGAGUGUUAUUCAUUCUUCAUAAAGCUAGAUAACCGAAAGUAACAAGAAUCCCAUUACACACCUGAAAGGCAUCACCCCUCUACGAGCUGUACUCUCUUUUCCUUCCUAAGUCUCUCUCUAUCUUCCCCUCAAUCUCUGCAACUUCUUGUGAGAGCAAGUUACAAAAUGGCCUCCAUCAGUUCUGAUAGCGAAGACCGACAAUCACGCUCUCCAUGAUGCCAGGGAAAGGAAAUGAAGAAGGGCAAGUUGCUUGUGCGGCUCCGAGUCCUGCUGGCGUUGCUGCUCCCCUCCCCUUCGCCGCUCGCCUGCCCCCUUCCUCCCGUCACAAGAUGCGGUUCGCACAAAGCCACCAUCUUGAGCAUGCGGGCAUUAAAUGGAAGUGAAAAAUAAGCAGGUUUCUUGAGUGGAGCUGAAGGUCAUGAAAUCCAGUAAAUGGAGGAUGAUGGUUUACGUACAGUAGCAGUGUGGAGCCACACGUCUUUACUAUGCAUGUGCCCCAACAUUAGAUGUAAACAGCACUUUAUUUUUUUAAUCUUAGCAAUUGAUAGAAAAUGUAGCAAUUAGCAAAAAUAGCAUUGACUAUUAAAGGGGCCGUGUGUUGUUUGAAUGAAGUAGUUUUGAGUGUGUGUGUAUCAUUGAGAUGGGUCUUUGUUAAUGUACUCAUUCAAUUAUUCAUUUGUAUUUUAAUUCAAUGAGUGGAGGUUUUAAUCAAGUAAUUAUUCCGUGAAUGUAAGAAAUGUUUUGUAAGAAAACAACCAUUUCGGUAUACUUUUUUAAAAUAGGUUCAAGGUUUAUGUUAUAUAAGCUAUUAGUCUUUGAAAUUAAUUUUACCCCUUCUGAUCAAGUUUGUCUCAGUAGACUGUUAUGAGUACAAUCUUUAGCAUAGCGCACUUUACAAAGUCAGAUAAUCAUAUUUUCCUAUCUUUUAGUACAAUAGUUUUUAACUAUUAAGAAAAAUGGUAUCUGUUUUAGAAACUGGCCGUAAUCUUUAUCUCCUGAUUACUAAUUACUAACAUCAAUUAUUAGAAAUAAUGUGUGAGGCUCUGUAGAUUUAUGUUGGAUGUAUGAAUGGGAGACCCACGGCAGCGGUGAAGGAUACUGCACUCUCAUUGAACAGCUCAGUGUGUUGUGUCGCACACUUAUUGGACAGAGAGCUGUUGUCUUUAAUUUCUAUGCAAUUGCGUUGGUUUUGCAAUCACCUGAAAGAGAAGGCAGAUCAGAGCUGUUGUUUAAGAUUUACUACUGGACUGUACUUUUUUCAUUAUUCAAAGCAUAUUAAAUCUGGAUUGAGAUGCUUGUUUACUUCAUUCCCACUAAAACUGAAUUCAGCAUCCUUUAGAUUUUUUAUUUUGUUCAUUUUUAGGACUAAAAAUCAAUUUAAAGGGAUUAAAUGCUCUGUCUCUCUGUAUUUUUGUUACAAUCAAUUAUGGAUAAAAAAUUAAAUGACUAUGCAAAUGUAUUAAGAAUUUGUUAUAUUUUAUGCAAUUGUAUUUGAAAAUUGUAUUGUACAAUCUAUUACUGAACAAUUUAUGAAACUUUUUUUUGCAUUUUAGCAAUAUCAAUUUAGCAAAAUAGAUCUGUUUAAAUUUGACAAAUCAAAUGCAAAGACAAUGAACAAAUGGGGCUUUAUACUAUGCAAUUGUUUCAUUUCUUUUGUAAUGUUGUAGUUAGUUAUGAUAUUCAAAUGGUUAUAGUCGUAUUAACAAUAUUCAUAAAAAAACAAUUAAUUUGAACUCUGUAUGCUCCUUUAAGUUUUUCUUCAUAUUUCAGAUAAAUGUGCAAGUUUUGACUUUGAUUUGACUUUUCUGUAGUACCACAUGUGCCUUUUUCAUGAUGUCCUGUUAUGGAUAUUAAUAAAAGUUUACUUUGAAAACAA